UACGAAGGGGGCUAGCGUUGUUCGGAUUUACUGGGCGUAAAGCGCACGUAGGCGGAUCGUUAAGUCGGGGGUGAAAUCCUGGAGCUCAACUCCAGAACUGCCUUCGAUACUGGCGAUCUUGAGUCCGGAAGAGGUGAGUGGAACUCCUAGUGUAGAGGUAGAAUUCGUAGAUAUUAGGAAGAACACCAGUGGCGAAGGCGGCUCACUGGUCCGGUACUGACGCUGAGGUGCGAAAGCGUGGGGAGCAAACAGG
rnacentral:rRNA from 1 species